AACGCUAGCGGCAGGCUUAACACAUGCAAGUCGAGGGUAUAGUUCUUCGGAAUUAGAGACCGGCGCACGGGUGCGUAACGCGUAUGCAAUUCUACCUUUCACAGAGGGAUAGCCCAGAGAAAUUUGGAUUAAUACCUCAUAGUAUAGCAGUUUCGCAUGAAACCACUAUUAAAGUCACAACGGUGAAAGAUGAGCAUGCGUCCCAUUAGCUAGUUGGUAAGGUAACGGCUUACCAAGGCAAUGAUGGGUAGGGGUCCUGAGAGGGAGAUCCCCCCACACUGGUACUGAGACACGGACCAGACUCCUACGGGAGGCAGCAGUGAGGAAUAUUGGUCAAUGGGCGCAAGCCUGAACCAGCCAUGCCGCGUGCAGGAAGACGGUCCUAUGGAUUGUAAACUGCUUUUAUACAGGAAGAAACCCUCCCACGUGUGGGAGCUUGACGGUACUGUAGGAAUAAGGAUCGGCUAACUCCGUG
rnacentral:rRNA from 1 species